rnacentral:lncRNA from 1 species
AGCAGAUAAAAGCUCUAGAGUUCAUUUCAAGUGUGGUAUUUGCAUUUGGAAUAUGUUGAGGUCAACUCUCAAUAUGAAGUCUAAAGAGCUGUGACUAUCAGUGAAGCAAGCCGUCAUUCGGCUGAACAUUAGGUGUGGCCAAAUCAACUGUUUGGUACAUUCUUAAAAAGAAACAACGCACUGGUGAGCUCAGCAACACCAAAAGAUCUGGGAUUGUAUAAUUUCAAGUCCAUUGUGGUCGUGUACAGAACCAAAAUGAUGAAAAUUGUGUCAAUGUCCAAAUAUUUAUGGACCCAACUGUAUAUUAAGGUUUGGGUGACGACCACUUUUCUCCAUUAUCAGCGGUGAAGCGAAGCAGAUGCAUUCUUCAAGGGUGGUUUUUGAGAAGGGAGGUGUGUUAAUCUUUCACUUGGACAUGGUGACGGGGUGAGAUAAGAAAAGCAAGGCAAUGCCACAGAUGCUUUAAACGUGACAAGCUAUUCAGCAGACCAGCUUAUCUUUUAUUAAACGCCUUAAAAGGGGCAUGAGGUGCACCGUACAGUUUUUACAGGUCACAUCGUAUUGGCUUCACAGCAGGUUGUGUGUGCUGGACGUAAACCUUCCCGAACUAUUGGAGCAUGCAUAAUCAAAACCAUUCUCUAACCUGGUGUUUCCUCACUGAGUCAGUGGCUUACUGAAGAGUACAGAGGAAACUCUGGGUGGAGGAAGGAGACGGCCCCUGUCAACAAACUUAUGUGGUUAAAACUGGGUGGUGGAGUGAACUCCUUGGAAUUUACCCCAGUGUGUGAGGCAAUGAGGGACAGCCCCCUUGUUGAAGAAAACUGUGGUCUGGAUCAUAAUAUAAUAGAUUAAUGGUGUUCCCCCUUGGAGGACCCGGAGAGGGAUUACCCCCUUUUUUUUUUCCAGGGCAACACCCAUAAUAUGAAACACUUGUUGGCGGUGCAACACUUGGGGAAACGACUCCACUUCUUACAGGAGGUUUUCCCUUUGUUCCCUCUGAAACCUCUGUCUGUGUUUGUUGGCUUCUUGUCCAUCCUGAAUCUGGAUAACAUCUACGUCAAGAGUGACUAUUUUAAAAGUGAAGCCUGUUUUGCCUUUCAAAAUAAGACACUUGUUUAUACUUCAUAUUUAGAUGAAUUGCUAUCCAAACAACAAUAAGGACAUACAAAGAGGUAGAUACAAAAUGAAACAAUGAAAGCAUACAAAACUAAUAUUUUAACUAGUCAGUGAAGCCAUACAUUCACAGGUAUGUAGUACCAUACAGCCUCAGGAAUUCAAAGUAAGUGUACACAAUACAUCAAUAAUAUGUAACGCUAUACAUCUGUUAUAUUUUACUAAAUGUUAGACUACCUUUUAAUUAUCAAUGAGUUCAUUACGUUUAAAUAUUAGCCUACUGUGUUUC